GCGCCCGUAGCUCAACAGGAUAGAGCACCGGCCUUCUAAGCCGGUGGUUGCAGGUUCGAUUCCUGCCGGGCGCG
rnacentral:tRNA from 1 species